rnacentral:rRNA from 1 species
UGAGGAAUAUUGGUCAAUGGCCGAAGGGCUGAACCAGCCAAGUCGCGUGAGGGAAGACGGCCCUACGGGUUGUAAACCUCUUUGCCGGGGAGCAAAGGCGGUCACUGGUGACCGGAUGAGAGUACCCGGAGAAAAAGCAUCGGCUAACUCCGUGCCAGCA